GUUCCUUUUUUUCACAGAAUCACAGAAUGGGUGAGGUUGGAAGGGACCUCUGGAGAUCAUCUAGUCAAAGCCCUUGCUCAAGCAGGGUUGCCUAGAGCAGGCUGCCCAGGACCCUGUCCAGAUGGCUUUUGAAUAUCUCCAAAGAUUUGCUACUGUAGUAGCUGCAAGUAUAGGACAGAACUACUCUAGUGAAAGAGCCUUGGCCAUGGCUGUCAGACGUGAGACACCUCAGUAGAGUCUGCUGUUUCAAGAGACGAAGCAUUUACAGGAUGGGGAACAAAAAGCCUGUGCCUCGUGUCAAGUUGGGUGCCUGAAAAAUGCGGCACCCAUUACCGCUUUGGAGAAAGGUGGCAGUGAAGAGCUGGAAUAUUGCUGAUUGACCCCACGCUGCCGUUCUGGGAAACGCAGCAUAUGUGAUGAGCGACCUUCUCUGGGGCUGUGGCUCACAGACCCGCUGUGUCAGCAGCCCACGUGAAACGCAGCUCCCCACUCAUGUUGCAGCUUGUUUGCUGGGAUGUGGCAUCGCUUUGCCCUCUUCUCCAACCUACAAGAGCUGCACUCUCUCAUAACUUUCCAGCUCUGCCACAGUGUCCACCACAAUGGGACAGAUGGAGCACUGUUCUUGGAAUGCGAAUGUCUGGACAGGGGCUUUUCCAGCUUCCUGGCAAAAGGAAUUGCACAAUUCCAGAUGACUUACUUCAUAUGCCUAGAGGAAUUUUAUUGCACAAAUAACAAAGGAAGACAAAGAGAGAAAGAGGGAGAGCACACAUUCAAAAUAAUAAACAAAGAAUAA
rnacentral:lncRNA from 1 species